rnacentral:rRNA from 1 species
AUGAGUACAACGCACUCGCACCACUGUAGCAGCCAGCAGGAGGUUACGAUUGCUGGUUAUUCACACAGACAUGCCGUGGCACGCAGGCGGGGGUUCAGAUCAGGCGACCGACGGGGAAAUCCAGACGGGCUCGACGUCGACAAAGUGCCCGCCGGCGAUGCCAACCACCGUUGUCUCCCGGUCGCCCAGCGAGUACACGCCGAUGGCGUGCCGCGACGUCGUCCCCUCGUUCCGCUGCGCAAAGUACACGCAGUUCUUCCGAACACCGAGCGCCGCCGCCGGCGACACCGCCACCGACGCCGCCGUCCCCACAAACACAGCCUUCCCUCCGGGCAGCUCCGUCGCCGCCUCCCACUCCCGCCGCGCCGGCAGGAACCGCCGCACCUCCACCUCAACCGAAUACCUCGGCCGGCACGAAGACCGCCUUAUGCCCUGCACUACUUUCCUCGCCACCAGGAGGAGCUCCCCAUCGGACUCCACCAGGUUCACGCCCCGCCAAUCCCAGUUGUACAGCUGGUGCCCGACCUCCUCCCCGCGCAGCUCGCAUACCGCCGCCACGCGCGCGCGGAGGUUCGCGCGGUACGCGAGGACCGCGCCGUCGUCGGCCAGGGCGCACAGCCGGCCGCGCCAGAACGCCACGUCCUGGAAACCUCCGUGCCCCGAGCCGCCGGCGUCGAUCGUGGUCCUGCCGGAGACGGACAUGACGCUGUCCGGCCGGACGAGCUCGACCGUGCGGCCCGAGCGGCUGAGCAGGGCGGCCACCCAGCCGGGGGAGGUGGGCGGCGCGGAGAGCACGACCUUGGCGACCGGGAAAGCGAGGGCCUGGGCCAGGGCGACGGACUCGCCGGAGAAGACGUUGCAGAGCGCGACGGCGCGGUCCCCGUCCGAGGCCAUCGCUAG